UACACACAGGAGCUCAUGCACUCACCCUCAUGUGCGCCUGCAUGCAUGGACGUACGUGCACAUAUGCGCACACACGCAUGCAGAGUUCCAGGAAGGAGAAAGAAAUAGAGAAACCGGGUGAAUGCUGUGUGAAGAUAGCUAUCCUGGAGGCCUGCUGGAUUCCUUUAGUGGAAAAUAGGAAGACUUACCAGUUGACCUGGCGCUACUGUCUACACCGACUUCCAGUUCAGAAAAAGCAAAUUCUCAGAAGACUCUCAGGAAGUAGUGUUAGACCCAUGACAUUGACCGCCAUGUAGUUCAGGGGCCCAGAGCCGAGGUGAGAAAGUGAGGAUGUAAGAACUUAAAGGUAUUUCUAGGCAUAGAGUUUUAAAGGAGAACACAGAGAGGAAGCAAGAGGAACAGGGCACGCUGGGAACAAGGAAACGCUUGAAAAGGUAAAGGAAGCCUGGGUUGAAAGAGAAGCCUAUGGCCCUGAAUCCGGAAAACUGAUUCGGGAUUAGCAGGUUCCAAGCCUCCCCACAUUGGUUGCGCACAGCAUGAUCCAUCUUCACACUCCCAGCACCUACUCCCGGGGGCAUCAUGACAGAUGGACAGCAGUAGACAUUAAAAUCACAGUAGGCUGGAGCCAGGCUCUUUCCCCAAUAUCCACAUCCCCUCCCCUUUCAGGAUCCCUUCUAGAAGCUUCUCAAGCUCCAGGGAGCCAUC
rnacentral:lncRNA from 1 species